AUACUUUCAUAAUCUACUUUUCCCAAGUUCUUUUUCUAAAAAUCUUUUCCCACGUCUAUUGAUUAGCGGAAAAUCGCAUAUGCCACCCGUUUACAUGUUCGUUAUAUAUAAUUAAUUUGAUUUGUUCUACUAUUGUGUUUGACAUGCAUGGUUAUUGACAUUUUGAUGAAAAAUGAAUAUUUUAAUUUUGAGUAUUGUUAAGGAUUAGUUGUAAAUAGAGUUCUAUUAGGAGUUAGAUUCCUAAUUAGUUUAUGAUUUGUAUUCCUAAAUAGCUAGGUAGCAUAGGAAUUCCUUAUAUAUAGACCUAUGUAAUCGAUUGAUGAGAUACAAGAAAUACAACUACAAUAUUAAUCUCUCAACAAGUAUCAACAUUCUUCUUUUUCCCCUUCUUUUCUUUUCAUCAUUAUCACCAUCAUCAGCCUCAUUUUAUUUUAUUUUAUAUUGGUUGCAUUCUUAGAAAACAGGUCAGUUUAGUUUUGGCAUGAUUUAUAGUAAUUAAAGGCGCAAGGCACACUAAGGUGCAAAGGGCUGCUGGAGGCUAGAUGCCUAGGUGCUAGCCUCUAGGUGAAGGCACGCGCCUGAGCAAGGUGAGGCACAAUAAUUAAAAAAUAAAAAAUAAAAUACAUAAAUAUGAAAAUUUUGCUUUAAGAGAAAAGAAAAAAAAAAAAAGAAAAAAACUGGAAAAACAUGCAUAAAUCGGAAAAAAAAUGGUUGGCAACAUGACAACUUAUAUUUUAAGAUUAUUAGAAUCAAGAUGGAAAAUAGUGGAAUCAA